UACGUAGGGUGCGAGCGUUAAUCGGAAUUACUGGGCGUAAAGCGUGCGCAGGCGGUUCGUUGUGUCGGUGGUGAAAGCCCCGGGCUUAACCUGGGAAUGGCCAUGGAAACUGGCGAACUGGAGUGUGGCAGAGGGGGGUGGAAUUCCGCGUGUAGCAGUGAAAUUCGUAGAGAUGCGGAGGAACACCGAUGGCGAAGGCAGCCCCCUGGGCUGACACUGACGCUGAGAAGCGAAAGCAUGGGGAGCGAACAGG
rnacentral:rRNA from 1 species